rnacentral:rRNA from 1 species
UCAGUACAGGUGUGGCAUGGCUGUCGUCAGCUCGUGUCGUGAGAUGUUGGGUUAAGUCCCGCAACGAGCGCAACCCUUAUUCUUAGUUGUUUCCCUUUGGGAUUACCCUCUAAGAGACUGGCCUCGGGAUAACGGGGAGGAAGGUGGGGAUGACGUCAAGUCCGCAUGCUCCUUACGUCUAGGGCUACACACGUCCUACAAUGGGGUCGACAAUGGGAUGCAAUAUCGCAAGAUGGAGCCAAUCCCCAAACGGCCUCUCAGUUCGGAUUGUAGUCUGCAACUCGACUACAUGAAGUUGGAAUCGCUAGUAAUGGCAGAUCAGCAUGCUGCCGUGAAUACGUUCCCGGGUCUU